AACACUCCCCGUGUACAGUGCUACUCACAGUCGACAUCUCCCCAAACCUUCCACAUUUUUUUUGUGCUUUUAGCUCCUUGUCUCUAUCACCCCCUACCUUGUUGCCGUCGCCACAGCCCACCUCAACGCGCCUUGGCAAAAACGCACGCACAAACACACACACUCACACAGGCUACUCAAUCAGACCCACACUUCCUGUUUCACGUUCUUUUAAUUUCACUCGCUCCCUGCCCUUGCUUUUACCCCCUAUUGCACGCCUCUAGUUUCUUGUGAUUGCUACGCAGUGAGCCAUCACCUUAGCAGACGUACACACUUCGCCCCCUCGCCCCACGUAUCACAAAACUCCCCCUCCUUCCCCACCCACCUAAUCACCACCCCGCGAAGGCAUCAACCAUGGCCCCGAUCAUCCACCGCAACCUCACCGCCCCCGAGCUGGUGCAGUGGGCGCUGAAGCUCGAGAAGGACACGAAGCUGAGCGCGCGCGGCGCGCUGUGCGUGCUGUCAUACGCGAAGACUGGCCGCUCGCCGAGCGACAAGCGUGUGGCGGACACGGAUGACGUGCGCGAGAACGUGGACUGGGGCAGUGUAAACGUGAAGCUGAGCGAGGAGUCGUUCGCAAAGGUGAAGAAGCGCGCGAUGGACUUCCUGAACUCACGCGACCACCUGUUCAUCGUGGAUUGCUUCGCCGGGCACGACGAGCGCUAUCGCCUGAAGGUGCGCGUGAUCACAACGCGGCCGUAUCACGCACUGUUCAUGUACAACAUGCUGAUCCGCCCGACACGGCAGGAGCUAGAGAACUUUGGCGAGCCGGAGUACACGAUCUACAACGCCGGCGAGCACUUGGCAGACCCGUCGGUGCCCGGGAUCACGUCGACGACGUCUGUGUCGCUAAACUUCAAGACGGGCGAGGAGGUGAUCCUGGGCACGGAGUACGCUGGCGAGAUGAAGAAGGGCAUACUGACGGUGAUGUUCGAGCUGAUGCCGCGCCAGGGCCACCUGUGCAUGCACGCGUCCGCGAACGUCGGCAAGAAGGGCGACGUGACUGUGUUCUUCGGGCUGAGCGGGACGGGCAAGACGACGCUGUCCGCAGACCCGAACCGGAUGCUGAUCGGCGACGACGAGCACGUGUGGACGGACCGCGGCGUGUUCAACAUCGAGGGCGGCUGCUACGCGAAGGCGAUCGGGCUGAACCCGAAGACGGAGGAGGAGAUCUACAACGCUGUGAAGUUCGGCGCCGUGGCGGAGAACUGCACUCUGGACAAGGCGACGCACGAGAUCGACUUCAACGACGAGUCCAUCUGCAAGAACACGCGCGUUGCAUACCCGCUGGAGCACAUCCCCGGCGCGCUGACGCACGCGGUUGCCGGGCACCCGAACAACGUGAUCUUCCUGACGAACGACGCGUUCGGCGUGAUGCCGCCGGUUGCGCGGCUGACGCCGGAGCAGGCGAUGUUUUGGUUCAUCAUGGGGUACACCGCGAACGUGCCCGGCGUGGAGGCAGGCAACGCGCCGGUGGCGAAGCCGAUCUUCUCGUCGUGUUUUGCCGGCCCGUUCCUUGUGCGCCACGCGACGUACUAUGGGGAGCAGCUGGCAAGGAAGAUGACGGAGCACAACGCCCGCGUAUGGCUGCUGAACACCGGCUACGCUGGCGGGCGCGCGGACCGCGGCGCGAAGCGGAUGCCGCUGAAGGUGACGCGUGCCGUGAUCGACGCGAUUCACGACGGCAGCCUGGACAAGGAACAGUACUGCGUGUACCCGGGCUGGGGCCUGCAGAUCCCGAGGAGGUGCGCGCGCGUGCCGGCGCAGCUGCUGGACCCGCGCAAGGCGUGGAAGGAUGUGAAGGCGUUCAACGAGACGACGAAGGAGCUGGUGGCGAUGUUCCAGGCGAGCUUCCAGAAGCGCUUUGCGGCGAAGGCGAGCGAGGCGCUGAAGUCUGCCGUGCCGAAGUACGUGGAGACGGCUCAUCUGUAGGGACGAUGUGUCGUCUCGGAUGAGGUGUCUGUUUGUGUGUGUGAUGUCGGCGACUUGUUUGUCGUGAGUUUUAGUGCGCGACUGAUCGCUGCGAGGAGCUCUGUCCGCCGACUGUGAUUGCGAGGGUGACAGACAGCGGCGUGCUCGACGAUGGGUCGGCAGCGAAGGGGAAGCCCUACCGUUGUGCGCGAGGUCUAAAGUCGGGAGGGGUUCGGAAGAACAGCGGCACGAAGUCGGUACUAGUCUGCGGUGAUGGGUGAGUUGGUGGUGUGCUCUCUCCCAGAGGUCAUGGGCGUGUGAGUUCGGCUUACUGCUUGCUUGGCGCAGUAGGGGCGCGCUCUGCGUGUUGGCUGUUCUGGGGAAAAGGAAGACGACUUUGUGCAUCUUUUUAUUAUGCUAAUCCGCGUAUGGCUUCUUUUGGAUGUGCAAGUGCUAUUUCACGACCCGCAGGGAGCACCGUCACCAGCGCCUCUCUCUGUGCUUUUCUUUUGUUUUUCUGACAUCCAUGUCGACGUCGUUUGUGCUUGCGUAUCACGGAAGGUGCGAUGCCACGGCUUCUGUCCGCUCUUCAUGAAUGGCAGCUGCCAAGUUUUUUUUUUGUUGCUGUCUUGAGUUUUCCCGCUCGCCCGUCCCUCAACCCCUCGAUCCCCGCUCUUUCCGUCCUCCCCACAUCGCCAACCAAGCCAUGCAAGACACAUACACACACACACAAACAGCACACAUGCACGUCCACAGGUGGACCAACUACUAAACAAACCCCAAAACGACAUGCUUACGUUCAUCUCUUUUCUACGUUCGGUUCUCAUGUUUUUUUUUUUUUUGUCCGCUCAGCCGCUUGCUAGUCUUGUGUGUGCGUCUUCUCCGAGUGCUGCGUCAUGCAGCACGGGGAUCUCUCUUUGUUUUCCGUCACUAUUACCAUCCAGUAUUAUCUGUCGUUUUCUUGUUUUUUUUUUUUCGCAUAUGCGUGUGUCUAUUUUUCUGUUGCUGUUACUGCCUUCUGCACUUGGAAAAAGAAAAAAGAAAUGCUGCUCUCACUCUCGCCCUCUCUAAGUUGACAGUUGAAUGUCUCCCCCGUCUUCUUCUUUGUCUUCGCCCUUCCUCUCACUUUAUUCCGGUACUUCUUCCCCUCUACCCGUCGUCUCCUCCGUAUCUGUAGCUUGAACGUUCUCGUUGCUUCAGCGCACCCCCUUCCGCUUCCUCUGCCCGUUUGCUGGGGUGCGACUGUGUGCGUUUGUGGGCACCUUCAUAAAAACACACACAGAACAGUAAGGAGCCCAUAAUUCGCCGCCACUCUCACCCCUCUACAGACACACACACACACAAACACACACACGCCCUUACCCCCCAAAAUAUAUGAUCGGUUGCUUGUUUCGUUUUCCCCCUUCCUCUCAUCGCUCUUGUUCUCUUCAUUGCAGCUGUUUUAUCUUAUUUUUAUUUUUGCUAGCCGCUCUUCUUAUGCUGGCGAGAUAUCUAUUUCGUGUUUAGUACGGACUUCAUCCUUGUGUCCUUCGCCCCAUCCCCCAUCCCUCAUUCUCUCUCUCUCUCUGCGCGCGUGCGUGUGUGUGUGUGUGUGCCCGUAUCAACGCAAAAUGCAGCAACUAAAAAGGCAUCAAAGCAGCGCAUCCCUCCCUCCUCUCCCUCCUUCUCCUUCUUCUCCCAACUAAGCACACACACACACACGCACGCACGCACACGCACACGCACACGACGCAAGCGGAUGGUGAGAGCAGACGAAGGGAAAUAAUAUUCAACGGCGGAAAAGAAAGCGGCCGUCAGGCAAAGCACGAUGACCGCAUAGAAGAAAGAAAGCAAAACAAAUACGAGCAUAACCCAUACACACGCGAGCACGUAACAGUCCAGCUCCGCGGAAGGUAGAACAGUACGGGCACGGGAAAAUAUGAUGGAUGCUCGACCGAUUAUUUCGAAUAACUCAAGGUGCGUCAUCCAUACAGCCACACACACACACACACACACACACGCAUAUACAUAAAACAGCAAAGGAAAUACCAGCACUGCGAACUGCUGGUUCUCUCUUACUCGAUAGGCGUGAUGCACGAGAAGAAGAUGUCGCUCUUAGCGCUUUUUCUUUCUACCUGUCUCUCACGCCACAGCACUUGCUACACGGUACACAGAGGGAUGU
rnacentral:misc_RNA from 1 species